rnacentral:rRNA from 1 species
UACGAAGGGGGCUAGCGUUGCUCGGAAUCACUGGGCGUAAAGCGCACGUAGGCGGAUCUUUAAGUCAGGGGUGAAAUCCUGGAGCUCAACUCCAGAACUGCCUUUGAUACUGGGGAUCUCGAGUCCGGAAGAGGCGAGUGGAACUCCGAGUGUAGAGGUGAAAUUCGUAGAUAUUCGGAAGAACACCAGUGGCGAAGGCGGCUCACUGGUCCGGUACUGACGCUGAGGUGCGAAAGCGUGGGGAGCAAACAGG